GGACCCGCACAAGCAGUGGAGCAUGUGGUUUAAUUCGAAGAUACGCGCAGAACCUUACCAACACUUGACAUGUUCGUCGCGAGACUAAGAGAUUAGUCUUUUCAGUUCGGCUGGACGAAACACAGGUGCUGCAUGGCUGUCGUCAGCUCGUGUCGUGAGAUGUUGGGUUAAGUCCCGCAACGAGCGCAACCCCCACUUUUAGUUGCCACCAUUUAGUUGGGCACUUUAAAAGAACUGCCAGUGAUAAGCUGGAGGAAGGUGGGGAUGACGUCAAGUCCUCAUGGCCCUUAUGUGUUGGGCUACACACGUGCUACAAUGGUACUUACAAUGGGAAGCAAAGAUGCAAGUCCUAGCCAAUCCCUAAAAUGUACCUCAGUUCGGAUUGUACUCUGUAACUCGAGUGCAUGAAGCUGGAAUUGCUAGUAAUCGC
rnacentral:rRNA from 1 species